rnacentral:rRNA from 1 species
UACUGGGCGUAAGCGCACGCAGGCGGUUUGUUAAGUCAGAUGUGAAAUCCCCGGGCUCAACCUGGGAACUGCAUCUGAUACUGGCAAGCUUGAGUCUCGUAGAGGGGGGUAGAAUUCCAGGUGUAGCGGUGAAAUGCGUAGAGAUCUGGAGGAAUACCGGUGGCGAAGGCGGCCCCCUGGACGAAGACUGACGCUCAGGUGCGAAAGCGUGGGGAGCAAACAGGAUUAGAUACCC